AUACGUAGGGUGCAAGCGUUAAUCGGAAUUACUGGGCGUAAAGCGUGCGCAGGCGGUUUUGUAAGACAGAGGUGAAAUCCCCGGGCUCAACCUGGGAACUGCCUUUGUGACUGCAAGGCUAGAGUACGGCAGAGGGGGAUGGAAUUCCGCGUGUAGCAGUGAAAUGCGUAGAUAUGCGGAGGAACACCGAUGGAGAAGGCAAUCCCCUGGGCCUGUACUGACGCUCAUGCACGAAAGCGUGGGGAGCAAACAGGAUUAGAUACCCUGGUAGUCCACGCCCUAAACGAUGUCAACUGGUUGUUGGGUCUUCAUUGACUCAGUAACGAAGCUAACGCGUGAAGUUGACCGCCUGGGGAGUACGGCCGCAAGACUGAAACUUAAAGGAAUUGACGGGG
rnacentral:rRNA from 1 species